AAAAAAUCAAACCAUGUAUUUCCGUGACAACGUUUGACUGUCCGUCUUAUAUGAAAUUUUUUUAUAAUUAAUAUUUUUAUUGUUGUUAGAUGAUAAAACAUGAUUAAUACUUUAUACGUGACUUAUCUUUUUAAUUUUUUUUAUAUUUUUUCAAAUAAGACGGACAGUCAAACGUUAGACACGGAAAUCAAGAUUUGUCUUUUAU
rfam:Oryza barthii chromosome 2, whole genome shotgun sequence.